GGCGGAGGCGAGAGAACGCUGGACGCCGGCUGAGCUCGGCGAGGCCGCUCAGCGGAGCGCGCGUCCGUCGGGUGCUCGUGCGGUGCUCGUGCGGGGCUGGUGCGGCGCGGCUCCGGGCUGCAGGAAGCUGAUAGCUCGGCUGCAGCCGUGUUGAAGCCGGGAGGAACCGAGUGGAGGAACGAGCCGCGGACUGAGAUGUCAAGUGGGGAUUAUCUCAUCUUUUAACACUUAGAAACAAAUUAGUGUCUCAGCAAGCUGAACAAUGGCAGUUGAGUGGAUUUUGAAAAAUGUCUGAAGUUUAGUGAGUGGCAUCUACCUUCUACCUUCUCCCCAUCCUUUACAAAAGAAUAAAUGGGAUGUUUGAGAAGAGAGCUGUAUUAAAAGAAGAGUGUUACAAAUGGCUUCAGAAUCUUUGAAUGCAAAACAAGCUAGGAAUCGCCUCACAAAGGGGAAAAGGCAACAGCACCAGCAAAUAAAGAACAGAUCUUCAGUCAGUGAUGGUGAUGGAGAAGAUUCCUUUAUCUUUGAAGCAAAUGAAGCUUGGAAAGAUUUUCAUGGUUCUCUUCUUCAGUUUUAUGAAAAUGGAGACCUUUGUGAUGUCACACUGAAGGUUGGCUCAAAGCUAAUCUCUUGUCACAAACUGGUAUUGGCUUGUGUUAUUCCCUACUUCAGAGCCAUGUUUCUCUCUGAAAUGGCUGAAGCCAAGCAAACACUGAUUGAGAUCAGAGAUUUUGAUGGUGAUGCAAUAGAAGACUUGGUAAAGUUUGUCUAUUCUUCACGGCUCACGUUGACAGUUGACAACGUCCAGCCUCUGUUAUAUGCAGCCUGUAUUCUACAGGUUGAACUGGUGGCUAGAGCUUGUUGUGAAUACAUGAAGUUACAUUUUCAUCCCUCCAAUUGUCUGGCAGUAAGAUCCUUUGCAGAAAGUCACAAUCGAAUAGACUUAAUGGACAUGGCAGAUCAGUAUGCUUGUGAGCAUUUUACUGAAGUGGUGGAGUGUGAAGACUUUGUAAGUGUGUCACCCCAGCAUCUCCAUAAACUUUUGUCCUCCAGUGAUCUAAAUAUUGAGAAUGAAAAGCAGGUCUAUAGUGCAGCCAUCAAGUGGCUUCUUGCCAAUCCCCAGCAUCAUUCCAAAUGGUUGGAUGAAACACUUGCACAGGUUCGUUUGCCGCUGUUGCCAGUUGACUUUCUUAUGGGUGUUGUGGCAAAAGAACAGAUUGUCAAGCAAAAUCUAAAAUGUAGAGAUUUAUUGGAUGAAGCAAGAAAUUAUCACCUUCACUUGAGUAGCAGAGCAGUACCUGACUUUGAAUACUCCAUUCGGACUACUCCAAGGAAGCAUACUGCUGGCGUGCUGUUUUGUGUAGGUGGUCGAGGUGGAUCAGGUGACCCCUUUCGCAGUAUUGAAUGCUAUUCUAUCAACAAAAACAGUUGGUUCUUUGGACCAGAAAUGAAUAGUCGAAGGCGACAUGUGGGUGUAAUUUCAGUGGAAGGUAAAGUGUAUGCAGUGGGUGGACAUGAUGGAAAUGAACAUUUAGGUAGUAUGGAGAUGUUUGAUCCUCUCACUAAUAAAUGGAUGAUGAAAGCAUCAAUGAACACAAAGAGGCGAGGAAUUGCCUUGGCCUCCUUGGGAGGCCCAAUAUAUGCAAUUGGAGGUUUAGAUGACAACACUUGUUUCAACGACGUGGAGAGAUAUGACAUAGAAUCUGAUCAGUGGAGUACAGUGGCACCAAUGAACACUCCCCGUGGAGGAGUCGGCUCUGUGGCUCUUGUGAACCAUGUUUAUGCAGUAGGUGGCAAUGAUGGAGUAGCUUCUCUAUCUAGUGUGGAGAGGUAUGAUCCACAUCUCGAUAAGUGGAUAGAAGUUAAAGAAAUGGGUCAGCGAAGAGCAGGCAAUGGAGUUAGUGAGCUCCAUGGUUGCUUAUACGUUGUUGGAGGUUUUGAUGAUAAUUCUCCUCUGAGUUCAGUUGAGCGGUACGACCCUCGAAGCAACAAGUGGGAUUAUGUAGCAGCUCUUACCACUCCCAGGGGUGGAGUGGGGAUCGCGACAGUGAUGGGCAAAAUCUUUGCAGUUGGUGGUCAUAAUGGCAAUGCAUACUUAAAUACAGUAGAAGCAUUUGAUCCAGUGCUGAAUAGGUGGGAGCUUGUUGGAUCUGUGUCUCACUGCAGAGCUGGAGCAGGUGUAGCUGUGUGUGCCUGUUUAACUAGCCAAAUUCGAGAUGUAGGUCAUGGAUCCAGUAAUGUGGUUGACUGUAUGUGAUGGGAGUUCCAGCACCAACUAUUUAGUCAUAUCUGAUAGGGAAGAAAGACAACUAGGAUUUUGUAAUGACUGCCUUUGAACAGUUUUAACAACUGCUAGAGUCUUAUUUAAAUGUAAACUUGUAUUGUGACUAAGCAUAACUUUUGGAAUGGUAACUGAAGAAUUACUAGUAAUAAAGUUCAAUUUGCUAUUUCCCACUGUAGCAAAUAAUGAAGUAGGGAAGGAAGACAGUCUAGCCUGAAACCAUACCUCCAAAAAAAUGUUUAAAUUAGUGCCAAAACUUGGAAAUCUCUUUUUAAAAAAGUGUGGAUGAAUCAAAAUGUAAAAUGGAUUCAUUUGCUGAGCUUUACCUUUUGCCUAAAGGUGUUAACCUUAGACAGUGGAUUUUUCCUAGAGGGGAAGUUAGAACCCAUUCAUCAACACAAGGAUACCAGGACACAUAAUGGACCUGCUCCAACUGAAGAUCAUUUCUCUUUGGUGCUGAUGAAUUUAUGCCGUGCUUUUUUUAGGUGUUGAUUUUUCAAUUUCUUGGAUAUUUACAGAAGUAGAAAAAGUGUUUCAUCUUUCUGAGUGCCCCUUGGCUGCAUUUUCAGAAUUUUAUAGGGAUGCUGUAAGAAGCCCUUAAUUUCAGUUUGAAUUGUUAGGACACCAAAAGACCUAACUGAACUAUUUCCAUCUGAACGAAUCUACACUUUUAUUUUUUCAUCUCACGCAAAAAGGAUUUGUUUCAUAAUAAGCAAAAAUGGAGCCAGAGGAGAUACUGGAGAAGAAGGCUUUAGAGUCGACAUUAUUCUAGUGCCCAGGUGAGGAAAUAGAGUACCAGACAUUCAGGUAACUUGCACAAGACAGAGGAGGAUGUUUGUUUUGCCUAGAUGCCUAUACCCUAUAUGGUGAAAAUUAGAGGACUGAAUGUCUUGGGCCCCAGUUGGACCCUUCUAAGUCAUCAGUUUCUGAGUUGAAGUUUUAUUUGGUCCCUUUACUCUCAAACUUAGAGGACCCAGGGGGAAUUCAUGCUGUUGCCUAUUUUAGUUAUUUCAUAUUUGCUGGGACUUUAAACUUUAAAGGUUACUUUACAUCAUUCAUGACUUCUAAAAAUUGUUUUCAUGCUACUUUAAAGGUUUAUCACAUAUUUAAUAUUUUAAAUUUUUCUCUAUUAAGUAAUCCAUGCCCUCAAAUAGUAUACAAAUGAGAAAAAAAAAAACCUGUCCAUCUCAGCAGUCACUAGAAUUGUUAGUGUCUUGACUAGCACUGGUAAAUGGAGGACGUCUACAAGGCAGCACGUGAAGCGGCGUUAGACAAGGACUCCUUCCCCCGCCACUGUGCUGUUGAAGUUUCUGUGGCUGCAGGUUCUCAGGACUUCCUUCUCAGUUUGUUUUGUAAAACCUAUUCCUGCUCAUAAUCCAGUUUUACUGAUUGUCCCCCGUAAAAUCCCAAAACGGUUAAAUGUUAACUGCUUGUGGAUGACAUUUUUAAAAAGCUUAUAAAAGCCACAUUUCCUUUAGUUUGUUCUCAAGAAAAAUCCCUUCCUAAGUUGAGGUCAAACAGAUCUAUACCGUAAUGAGUUUCAUCUUUUACAAGCUGCUUGACCAUAGACAUAGCUUAAAUUUCAUCAUCUGUAAAGCAAAGUAACGACUCAUUUGAAAGGUGGUUUUAAAAAUACAAACCAUAGAAAAUGCACAGCACGUAUCACUUAAUACAUGUUCCUUUCCUCUUCUCCAUGUUUUCACUUUCUAGGCCUGUUGUGCUAGAGCGAUGGGAGUGUCAUGGAUGAGGUAAAUGAAAGGAAAAAAGGCCGAAUGGCUCCAUUUUGCUGUGGGGAAUUCAGGACCAACACAUAAGCAUAAGAGGAAUGCUGUUCUCUGCCUAACAGAUUAGUUGGUUGAAGUAACCCAGUCUGAACAGUAUGACCAUAGGGUGUUCACUUUAGCUUCUGUGUUAGGACCACUGACAAGGCAGGACAGUGGGUAUCUCAGUGUGAAAUCACCAGAUCUAAAUUAACCUGUCACCUGGGUGGAAAGAGACAUGCAGUCCAGGAGCUGGGCAGCCUGACGCAUAUUCUGAAGCAAGUCACUUUGUACACAGGAAUCACUAACACUUUGAACGGAUGGGAGUAAAUUUCACAGGGGUAAAAAGAAAAUCAGUCUUCCUUUGCUUUUUACCUUCAUUUAAAAUAAGCAAAUGUGAAGUUAAUAGGGCUAGUCAAGUAAGGCUCAGGACUGACACAUCAAAUUUUAGGUUUGAUCUCUGGGGCCAUAGGGAAACCUACAGUGAACUUCCUUCUGUAUACCCACUGGGUCUCAAACCGUUGCCAAUGUUUUACAGCUUCCAGUUUAUCCAGGAUGAGUGUCAGUUCCUUGGACCAAGAAAUAAGUUUUAAAGGUUAAUGGAACUUUAAAUCCUGAAGACCCAUGUCAGGGAUUGACCAUCACCUCCAAUGCUGGAAAAAGUGGGGAAACGUAAGCAGCCUGUGAUGUCGUUCGAGGUGCAGGCAAUGGAGCAAACUUGGGAAGUCAUGCAGUAUGUCAGAGGCAGUCAACAACCUGAAGAGAAUCUCACAGAAAUAAGUACAAGAACAGGCAUUCCACAGAAUCAGAAAUCCCAGUGGCCAAAUAAAUUUGUGGCAAAGUGGUUAACUUCAGUUGUCAGAGAAAUGCAAAUUUAGAGUAUAAUACUGUUUUUCACUUUGCAGCCAAAGCUGGCAAGAACUUAAGCUCAUCCACAGUUGGUAUAAGAGCUUCUAAAGAGAAGUGGUUUGGUAACAACAAAAUUUUUUUUAAGUUGGUUUAUCUUCUGACCCAGAUAUCCCGCUUCCAGAAAUUUAUCUUUUAGAAACACAAGAAUGCAUGAUGAUGUGUGUACCAAGAUUCCUCAGUACAGCAUUGUUUAUAACAGCAGAAUAAUUGGGUGGGGUGCCAGGGGAGGCUUACGUGCAUAAUGGGAGAAUGUUUAAAUAAAUGGUGAUAUAGCCUUACUACACAAAAUGAUUAACAGAAGACAUAUAAAGUGGAAAAAAAACAGUAUAUCCAAUUUUAUGUAUAAAAACAAUGUGUAAGUGCACAAAAAAGUUCUGUGCACACAAAGUGCGCCAAACUUACUGGUUGUUUACUUUAGGGAGGAAGGGAUGAAGUAAACUUGCUCUAAAUUUUUUGCUCUGUAUGCUCAUGUGUCUUUUUUUAAAGUCUAUUUGUAAAUCAGUUUGAAAACAAUUUUUACAAGAUUUCAAAAUGAUAACUCUUGUAGUUGUAGGCUUGGGGGAUCUCUGCAAAACCACUCUACCAGAUCACUUACUCCCUUUGAGAUGCUUGUGAAGACCUCAGGUGCAGUUGGAAUCUCUUCAAAGACUACAGGACAAAUAUGGAAAAACAGGAAGUUAAAUAGUUAAAGACAUUUUUCUAAAGCCCAUGCAGUUGAGUACAAUUGGUUUUCCAGUAAUAGUGUAUAUAUGUGUAUGUAUACACGUGUGUUGCUCAGGUGAUAAUUUACAGGAAUAUUUAGCAGUGGAGAGAUACAGACCACUUAACUGUUUCUGCCUCUGACGUGUGAAAUAAGGUAAACGAGAUGUUAGGACUGGGCCCCAGGAAUUGAGAAGGGUGAUGUAAAGCACUUAUCCAGAGCAGACAUAUGGUCUUUUAAAGUUAAAAUUGAAUUGUCUGUUUAGAAAGCAUUCCAAGAGCCACCCUCCAGUCUGUUCUAAGGGCACAGGUCUUCAUUAUCAGAGCCUCGCUGUCUCACUACAGUCUUGGCUUUCAGUUGAGUGUGGUCCGUGGGGAAACCACAAACACUGACAGAAUCCUGUUCUAAGACAAAACAGUCUCGAUGGUUAUACUUUUCUAAUCACAACCAAGUAAGAGAUAAACCUCGAUUAUAUUCUGAAGACCCACUAGGCUUCAAAGCUGUUUGGAAUGGAUUGAGGGGGUUCUAAACACUACCUAGAUGUCUUAAUUAAAAGUGGCCUGGAUUGUGACAAUUUAUAUUUGCAGCAUCUCUGGCAAAAAGUGAACAAAUGCUCGUUUAAAUAAACUCCAAAAGUGCCUAAACACUGAUUUAAAGCCUGAGAAGGAUACACACAGGAGGGUUUCUAUCUCACCUCAGAGUUGCCACCGGUAAUCAGCAGUAGGAAAUGGGCCUCGCAGUGUCCUGGGAAACAGCCCUUACAUACAAAAAGCGGAAACUGCGGACAUUGAUAGAAGUCGGCCUACUUAAAACUAAACAAACUUUGUUUAAAAAGUACCAUAAUAAAAAUUGAAAGGCAAGAUACUUUGGAGAAAAAUAUUUACAACAUAAGAGGUUAAUAUCCUAAAUAUAUAAAUCAAGAGGAACAAAGAUGAAUAGCCCGGAAGGAUCCUCUGUUCAUUAACAGAACCUUUCCUAGUUGUGAACUCAUUCCGUAUGAUUUAAGUGACAACUUUCCCCACAUCUACCCAGUUGGGAACUCACACUGGGUCUAGGUCUAGAGUAUUGGGCAUGUAACCCAUGUGCCACACACAGCACCUUCACAUGUAAGGGGACAAAUACUGUAAGAAUGAAAACGUAAGUGAAAACAUCAGAAGACACCGUUUCCCACCUAUCAAAUGGAGUGAUUUUUUUUCGCCUUUUUGUUUUUUUCCAAACAUAGUACAGUUGGUAAAGGAGUAAAUGAUCACUGAAUGCUAAAAUCAGUAAGUGAAAGAUGGCUGCAACAGGGAAAGGCCCCAAUUAACAGUUUUGGUGACGGUAUCUUAACCAAAGACUCAAGAGUUACCAUCACUAACGAUUUUAGGUGCCUUCUUACGUGAUGCAAUACGAAAUACACAGCACCACCUUUGAAAGAUUCUUGCCAAAUAUAAUCAAGCCUCUAAACCUAAGCUUACAGAGAAUCUACAUAGGAGAUAAGGGAAUGAAUUAAAGGACACUGAGGGAAACACAAAUCCAAGAUGCAGAACAUUACAUUAAAGAGACAUAAUGACCAACUGUAAUGUCUAAAACUUGACUGAGUCUUGGCUCAAAAAAAUGAGCUGUAAGACCUUUGGGGCACAAUUACAGAAAUUUGAAUGUGAACUGAAUACUAGAUGUUGAGAAAUUUUCUUAGCUGCUAUAAUGGUAUUGUGGUUAUGCUGGAAAACUUCCUGAGAAAUGCAUGCUGAAGUUUUUAGGGGUGAAGUGUAACUCAGUGUAAAUAUACACAUGCACACAUUUUCAUUAAAAAAUAUGAAAAAUCCAAUCUGUCCAACUAGUUUGCUCCAGGAAUGGCUGUGGGAGCAUUCUUUAUGAUAUCCCCAAAUCAGAAGUAAUGUCUAACACGGGGGUUGCUUGAAUAAAUUGGUACAACCAUACAAUGGACUUCUACUAAAACUCUAAUAGACAAGAUGUGACAUAGAAAGUUUUUGUGGAUUUAGAAUAGAUAAACAAGAUUAUACUGUACAGCACAGGGUAAUAUACACAGUAUCUUGUAGCUCAGAGAAAAAAUGUGAAUGAAUAUAUAUAUGUUCAUGUAUAACUGAAAAAUUGUGCUGAACACUGGAAUUUGACACAUUGUAAAAUGAUGAUAAAUCAAUAAAAAAUGUUUACAAAAAAUUUUUGUGGAAAAGAUG